AUCCCAUUGCAGUUAAAGGUCGAUGGAUUCAACAAUGUGCAGCAGCCCUUCAAAGAAUACAGACUGUGGUUUCCUCCUGGGAUGACUUCACCAGGACCCUUGGCAACAGUGCUGGUGGAAAGUGGAAAGAAACAGUUACAUGAGCCAUAGAUGGCAGAAACAGUAGAUAGAACUCACAUUUAGGCAGCAGGUAUAUGAAGCCCUGAAACUCCUUGGGAUCCCUAUGUUCAAAUGCCAAAGCAACUGUGACCAACUUUUGCCAUAUGGCAAAAAAAGACACUCUCUUGGCCUCCUUUUUCCACCAGCAAUGGAAAAGAAAAGAAAUAACAAUAAUAAAGAAAGAAGAGGUUGGUGUUUUCAUAAUUCCAAAACAUUCUUACCCCAAAAGAAAUGUAUGCACCUAGCACGCUUCCAGCAAUGGUAGAGAACCCGGCGGUCAUGAUGGCGUGGAGUUCAGACUUGGUGAUGUAAGGUAAAUAUGGUCGGACCAGCAGUGGAGACUCCGUCUGGAGACAAAGAAGGGUGACCAGAUUCCUUUUUAAAUCUGUGUGGGGGCAGGGGAAGGCAUGCCAAUCUACUCACAAUUUUAUUCUUUAAAGCAGACAGUUUCUAAGAGUGAACCUCAGACCAGCUCCAUCAGCGUCACCUGGAAACUCGUUAGAAAUGCAAAUUAUUUCGAUUUACUAAAUUAGAAACUCCAAGGGUGGGGGCUACCAAUCUGUAUUUUCACAAGCUUUCCGGGUGAUUCCAAUGCAUGCUCAAAUUUGAGAACCCACACCAUCGACGUCUGGGUUAUUUGAACUCUAGAUCAGUUUCCAUAUGUGGUCAUGUAUAAAUUUUGUAAAAUUCGUGAGGCUAGACAUAGAAGGCCUCCACCCAGCCUAGGACUGGACUCUGUGAUGUCUUGGUGCACUUUUCUAAGGGCCAACUGACUCUAUGCAGUGGCCUAACCUUCUGGAUGGGUGAUUUCUAAGCCACUGUGGCUUCCUGUCUUCCAACUUCACCUUGACAGACCCUAAACCUGUUUCCUGACCUCAGAGAAAUAGACACAAGCAUUAAAAACAAACAAACAAACAAACAAACAAACAACCUCAGCAAUAACAAGAACAGGUGCCCGCAGGCCCUUCUGUAAUUGAGAAUCAGAGACCCCUCUCUGAUGGGUGGAAAGGAAGAAGCAGACAGAGUGUAGUUGUAAAGGCUUGAAUCCCAUUAAGGAGGACAGGCAGCCUGCGGCAUGGGGCUCUCCAUAGAUAAUAGCUGUACUUUUAGCAUAUUAAGUAUCAAAUUGAACAUCACAGAAGCUUGUGUGCAAUUUUACAAUUUUCUCCUUAUUAUCUCUAAUUGUUCUGUAAGAUUGAAUGUGUGGAGCCUCGAUUUACCGACUAAAUAGGAACCCUGUGCGGGAGCCCUCUUACCCCACAGGUAGGAGCAAUCAACUCAAGAUGGUGCCCUAAUUAGUCCUGAGAGAUUUUAUGACUGUAAUUAUAAUAAUUUCAACUCCUAGGGAAGGAAGCAUGGGAUGGGCCCCCACUCUAAAGACUAUGCUCCAGGCUAGUAAGCAUAGGUUUUUUUUCUUUUUUGAGACAGAGUUUUGCUCUUGUUGCCCAGGCUGGAGUGCAAUGGCAUGAUCUCGGCUCACUGCAACCUCCACCUCCUGGGUUCAAGCAAUUCUCCUGCCUCAGCCUCCUGAGUAGCUGGGAUUCCAGGCAUACGCCACCAUGCCCAGCUAAUUUUGUGUUUUUAGUAGAGACGGGGUUUCUCCGUGUUGGUCAGGCUGGUCUCAAACUCCCGACCUCAGGUGAUCUGCCCGCCUUGGCCUCCCAAGGUGUUGGGAUUACAGGCGUGAGCCACUGCGCCCAGCCGUAAGCAUAGUCUUUAGAGUAGAGGCCCGUGCUUCUUGUUGGCUUACCAACAAGAAGUUUCAGCCUGCCAGGAGCAGUUGUAAGCCUGGGAUUUGGGGCUAUGUGUUUUUCUGAGUGACUUGAUUUUUGCUUCAAAUUCAGUUUCCUUGGGCAGUGGUGCUGGCAAGCGUUCAUACCUGGUUUUCGUGGCGUGUGACUCCAUUCUGCCUGAAGCUGCAUAUCUGGAGUGAUGAGGGGCUUAUUACAAUUUCUUACUGAUCCACCCCUUAGCCAUGCUGCUAUUUUGAGGGACACUCCUUGGCAUGAUAUUUAUUUGCUUAAAUGGGCUUCAGGCAAAAGAGCGUUUCUCCAUGUGAUGGAACAGGGAGGUGAAAAUUGAAGUCUAAAAGCUUAUUUUUGAUGAGAAGAGAAAAACCUAAAAGCAUUUUUCUUCAGGCUCAGCAAAGACAGAAUAUUGGCCAGUUCAGACAAGUUGAGAAUAAGCUCAAGUAUUUACGCAGUUGCAUGGUUGUUGGUGGAAAGGCUUUCUUGGUCUCCUCCAUUGCCACAGGCAUUAUAGUUUAGAAUGGGAGGCUGUUUGUAGCUUGGAGAUUUCGAGAUAGUGAAAUCCAUUCAAGUGGAAGAGCUACCAGCCUCUGAAGAGUUGACCAGAAACCUCACAAUCACUAAAUUCAGAUUUAUUGAGAAUCUAUAUGAGAAGCUCUAUGUCUAUGCCUUAAUAAAAUGACAACCUUCCAUCCUCUUCAUAAACAUUCUCAAGAACCCAAUUCUACAUACCAUACCCAGACUGUUAAAAGGAAUUUCUCUCUGUGUCUCUCUGUCUCUCUGUCUCUCUCUCUGUCUCUCUCUCUCUCUCUCUCUGUCUCUCUCUCUUCUCCCCCUGGAAUCCGGACAUUGCCAAUACUGGGGGUUUCUUAUUUUGACACCAUUUUCUCUACACUAAAAGAACAUUGUGUUAUUUUCUUAUUUGGCUUUUUGGAAAGAGACGAUCCAUUUCAACAGAUGUUUUGUUCUGUUGAUAUUACAACUUACUUGUCCAACAAAUAUAUUGCCAGAAGCAACUACAGAUUCAAUAGGAGAUGAUCCCGUAGUAACUAGCAUGAUCC
rnacentral:lncRNA from 10 species